rnacentral:rRNA from 1 species
UGGGUAACCUGCCUCAAAGAGGGGAAUAGCCUCCCGAAAGGGAGAUUAAUACCGCAUAAUAUGUUUAAGUCGCAUGACUUUAACAUCAAAGGUAUUUUUCUUUUAAGAAAUUCCACUUUGAGAUGGACCCGCGGCGCAUUAGCUAGUUGGUGAGGUAACGGCUCACCAAGGCAACGAUGCGUAGCCGACCUGAGAGGGUGAUCGGCCACAUUGGAACUGAGACACGGUCCAGACUCCGUAGGGACG